rnacentral:rRNA from 1 species
UACGUAGGGGGCAAGCGUUGUCCGGAAUCAUUGGGCGUAAAGCGCGUGUAGGCGGCCCGAUAAGUCCGCUGUGAAAGUCCAGGGCUCAACCCUGGGAUGCCGGUGGAUACUGUCGGGCUCGAGUCCGGAAGAGGCGAGUGGAAUUCCUGGUGUAGCGGUGAAAUGCGCAGAUAUCAGGAGGAACACCGGUGGCGAAGGCGGGUCUCUGGGCCGAAAUUGACGCUGAGGAGCGAAAGCGUGGGGAGCAAACAGG